rnacentral:rRNA from 1 species
CAGCAGCCGCGGGAAUACGAAGGGGGCUAGCGUUGCUCGGAAUGACUGGGCGUAAGGGGCGCGUAGGCGGCGAUCAAAGUCAGGCGUGAAAUUCCUGGGCUCAACCUGGGGGCUGCGUUUGAUACUUGAUUGCUAGAGUGGGGAAGAGGGUCGUGGAAUUCCCAGUGUAGGGGUGAAAUUCGUAGAUAUUGGGAAGAACACCGGUGGCGAAGGCGGCGACCUGGUCCUUGACUGACGCUGAGGCGCGAAAGCGUGGGGAGCAAACAGGAUUAGAUACCCGCGUAGUCCCUGUCUCUUAUAU